rnacentral:lncRNA from 1 species
UUAGCGAGAGAAAAGACAGAUUUUUAUUCACGUAUGUAUGUACUUGGGAGUUCACAGAGAAAUGUGACUCAAAGCAGUGGUUAGAAUUUGGGGCUUAUCUGCCAUCUUAGGGGGAGUUGACAGGGGAAGGGAGAAGGGCACUUAUAGGAAAACAAGCGACCUUUGGAAAGAUGAAGGGGCCCUUCAGAGGAGUGGCAGGAGCCGGCAGAGCUGUGCACAGUGUCUGUUCGGGUGUGGUGUGUAGCCUGCUCGUCUCCGUGGUGACAGUCUUCCCUGGCUGCUGCAAGGAAGAGAUUUAUGACAACUGGAUUCUUCUGAGUUCUUUUUGGGAGGUUCCGCUCUCAGACAGACAAGAGAUUUCAGGAACUCAAACGCCUUCUGGUCAAAUGAUUUUUACACCCCAGCACUGUAUUCUGAACCCCUGCACCGCCCUCUCCAGUCCCUCCACCACUUUGCAGAAGCAGUGAGUAACCCGGAAUGAACGCUGUUGCUAUGGAGAUGCUUGGGCCAGACUCUAGACCAGUGACCUGCAAAACACAGAACCUUCUGGAGCACGGGGCAGGGCCAGGGCAACACGCCCACGGACGGACGCCAGAUGGCCCAGGACAACCAGUGGCCACCCAGCCUCAGCCACCAGCAUCUCCCAGUUGCAUCGUCCUGCCAGGCUGGGCGUUUUGUUGGCUGGGUUUUUUUAUUGUCAAGUUGUUCUAAAGGUUUAUUUUUCUCCUUUCCUCCAACAAAAUUGAUGCCCUUGCCCUUCAGGCUGCCGUCGGCUUCAGGCAGAGAAAUGCAACAGGGGAGCCUGUGGCUGUCCAGCUCGUGAGGACGAGGCAGAAAGCACACUGGAAACCAAGAGCUCACAAACCCCACGAUGUUCAGGGCGUGGCUACAGCCCCUGUCUUGUGGCCCCUGCCCGGUCCUAUUUCCGAGGUGCCACCUCAUUCCCCCUCCUCCGUAUCCGGGCUCUGGCCCUCCUCCACCCAAGCAGAGCGGUACCCUGGCAUCAUAACAAUGGGCUGCCUGGUUCCUGGCUAUUCCCCGGGCCGCAGCCACUGACCACGGCCUGUAACUGGGGAGUGAGUGCCCCUUUCCCACUUCCGUCCUCCUCCCUUCUUCCUUCCAGCUCCUCCUACAGCUGGC